rnacentral:lncRNA from 10 species
CUCCUCGACAAGUGGACGAGCAUCUACUGUGCUUUCACAGCGGCUAUCACUAUUGCCAGCAGCAAGACUGUCAGCUCGGCGCCCUCGUCUGGUUGGAUGGGAAACUGCAGUUGCUAAGGGAGCUGGGUUUGAAUCUCUGAGGACAAAUGGGAAUUCUCACUGAUUUCUAGGACUACCCUGGGGCAGAGAUGGAGUUUCAUCACAUUGCCUAGGCUGGUCUCGAAAUCCUGGACUCAAGUGAUCUGCUGGCCUCAGCCUCCCUAACUGCUGGGACUAGAGGCCUGAGCGACCACCCCUGGCUGUAAACAUUUUCUUAGCUCAAGGAUUGCUGAAUUUGUAUCCAUUUUCUUCUCUCCUAUCUCAAUUGGGUGGGUGAAAUGAUACUGUUAAUUAUUUUCUGUUACUUUUGAAUGCUUCUUUGUGGCGAACUGAGGGCAUAGUAAUACUGUAGCAGCUAAC